GGAAGCACUGUCUGUUAUCGUAUAACUUUCCAGUUAGUAAGGUUUAUUUUAGUAUGAAAAGGCAAAAAAAUGUUUUAUUCACUGGGAGAGUCCAAAUAAUGUAAAAGGAAUUAAUGAAAUAAGAGUUAGGAGCCUAUUAGGCAGAAAGGACAACAAACACCCCCAAAAUGGAAUUGGCAGAGUCAUGAUUCUGAUUCUCCAGUGUUCUUGUAAAACCAUCUGGAAGAUGUCCUUCAGCUGUGUGGGACCUCCAUAUAGUAUGGUCACACAGGCCAUUGACUCAAGCAUAGAUGGGCCUUGUAUGAACAGUGCAUGGAUUGAACCCUAAAAAUUGUGUAGUCUCUUAUCGGGUAGAAAUUAUAUUGCUUACACAAUAGCCUGACCUCUCUUCUAAAUUCUUUAAAAAGACCUAGACUAAGAGCUCUUGUGGGCAUCCUACUCAGAACCCCAUUCUUCCACCCCAAGUUAGCAGGAGCUUUAAUUCUUUGCCUUUAUAUCUUUCAAUUUAUUGCAUUUGUUUCUUUUAAAUAAAGUUGCUUGCAGCCUACUUCUUUGGUCCUUGAUUUCAUUCUUUGUCACCACAGGACAUGAGCCCAACAUUCCAGCAACAAUUUGAUAGGGCAUUUUUAUUUUUUCUCACUGUGUCCAGAAACCUUUUGGUUCAGUUUUUCCUAAGAUUUUACCCCUUCUCUUCAGCAUGGGUGGCAGAAGCAUAACCAUGUGAAUCGGAGUGGUAGUAAAACUAUAGCAUACAUGCCGCACGUGGCUGUUUUAUUAUCACUGAAAACUAAAAGAUUUGCCAUCACUGGUUUAGUUGGUGAGAGGAAGAGGGCACUUGGGGUGAAUUCUUAAAUAUUUCUUACCACAUUUUUUCAGUAUUUUUAAUAUUGACAACACCAACAUGUAACUGAAACUUCCAAAGUAAUUUGGGGCAUUAUGUGGUUGUGCCACUUAAACUAAUUCACAUUUUGUUCCAUUUCAUGUCUUUUAGCUUACUAUCCAGCCUUUUCAAUCUGCUCCACCUUCACUACUUGUCAAUACAUUGCUUGCCUUCCAAAUUAUAUUGACAUCUUGUCACUCUCCACUGUUCAUUUUAACUCUUCUGUUUUAAGUGCUUUUAUGUCAUUUGGGGGUUCUGGAGAGUAGGAUCUGUGACCAUCAAUUCAUCAAUCACUAAAAACUCAACAUAUUGCAUUUAAAAACAUUAAAUAAACACUUUAGUAGAGAAGGUGCAUGCUGAAAUUCUGAUUAGAUAACUAAAUGUGAUUAAUAGUAAAUAGUCACAGUAUUCAAAAGGGGUAUAAAUGAAAUCUUAAGUAUUAAUCCAUGGUUAAUUAAUUAGAUAAAGGCCAAAUAAAAUAUCUUUUCUAAGGCAUGACCCUUUCCUUGUAGAAAUUUCAGUUUUGAUGAGAAAAUUAUACUCACGAAGCAAUUAAAGACAAUAAAAAUGGAAUGUAAUCAAAUGCUAAAUUUCAUGAUUUAACCAUUAGAGGCAGGAGUUCAGGAAAGAGCAAAAUCAAAGUACUUCAAAUUCCCUCAGAUGAUUUGCCCCCUAUUCUUGGUGGUAUUUACAUUUAGUUUGUUAUAUACUUCAGAGAUAUCUCUUAGGUUUUACUAUUGCAUUUCUAGUAGUUAAAUCCUAUCCCAUUAAGAUUGUUUUCUAAAAUGUGAGACAGGGAACUCUACAACUUCUUGUUUUACAUAACCAGAAACAUUCAUUUUAAUAUUCCUAUCAUGUUGAGAAUCAAUAAAACCUGGAGCUUCAUUUUGCAAAUAAAUCUAGGAUCUCAAAUUGAUAUAAGGAUGGAUUUUAAAUUUCAUAAUUUAUUCAUAAACAUUUCUAAAUCCCACUAUAUGUUGUUUCUGUACUUGGUAUUUAGUGAAAAAGCAUAAUAUUUGGAGGAACAAAGUAUUAAAUGUAGCUAGAGUAAGGGAAUUAUAGUAAAACAGGUUACCUGUAUGGACCUUUUAGGAAAUGAAAAUACCAAAGAGUAAAAUGUACAUAAGGAGUAUCCCCACACUGUACAGCAAUAGUAAAUAAUGGAAUUCUGGUCUGGUUAGCAGAAACUUUGGAUUUUAUUGGCUGUGUAAACUUCAACAAAUCAUUUCAUUUUUAUAUUGAAUUUGUUGCUUUGAGACUGCUUUUAUUUUCCAUUUAGAUUUAGUUAAAUGUUAAUUAUUAAAUCAAGGCCCAGGUUGUAGAUCCGUAUAAAAUUUUAGACAUUUAUGUACCCCAAUCAAUGUGGUGGGAACUCUGUUUUCCUACCCACAUGCUAUAAUAUGGAUCUUGUUUCCCCCUUCCCCAAAGGCCCAUGUUUAGAGGCUUGUUCCCUUGAGUGGCACUACCAGAAGUUUGUAGAAGCUGUCAGAGGAAAGAAGCCAGUAAUUGUUAACUCAGAACACCCAAGGAAAUCAUGGUUUUAAACAUUUAGAGGAAAUCACAAAAGCUUGAAGAGCUUUCCCCCAGGGCACCUUGGAAGAAUCCAUGCCUCUAAAAUAGGAAACAUUUAUCAAGCCUUUGAGUACAGAAGUGUUUCAGGCUACAAUGUCAGCAGAACUAGACUAAACCAACUUUCUGGCCUAAUAGCCACUGUGCUACUUCUGUCAACAUGACUUGCUUUUCUGUAAAAAUGUGUAUAUAUACAUAUAUAUGUAUGUGAAUCAGUAUUCAGAAAAUGAAUGGAAAAGAAGAG
rnacentral:lncRNA from 1 species